rnacentral:rRNA from 1 species
CCUACGGGUGGCAGCAGUGAGGAAUAUUGGUCAAUGGGCGCAAGCCUGAACCAGCCAAGUCGCGUGAGGGAUGACGGUCCUAUGGAUUGUAAACCUCUUUUGUCGGGGAGCAAAGCGCGGUACGAGUACCGUGAAGGAGAGUACCCGAAGAAAAAGCAUCGGCUAACUCCGUGCCAGCAGCCGCGGUAAUACGGAGGAUGCGAGCGUUAUCCGGAUUUAUUGGGUUUAAAGGGUGCGUAGGCGGAUUAGUAAGUCAGCGGUAAAAAUGCGGUGCUCAACGCCGUAUCGCCGUUGAAACUGCGGGUCGUGAGUGAGCGAGAAGUAUGCGGAAUGCGUGGUGUAGCGGUGAAAUGCAUAGAUAUCACGCAGAACUCCGGUUGCGAAGGCAGCAUACCGGCGCUCAACUGACGCUGAGGCACGAAAGCGUGGGUAUCGAACAGGAUUAGAUACCCUGGUAGUC